rnacentral:lncRNA from 1 species
AGACAAGGACAAUUAGUGUUGUUUCCUCUGAAAAAGAUCAACUAAAGAGAAUACAAAAAAUGAGAGCUUAAGACCUAAGAGCAAAAAUACACAAAAAUGGGAGAACCUAAGAGAUCGGUCGUUUCUUGAUUUUAGGAGGGGACAAAAACUCUUCAGCUUCUUCCUAUUCUUUGAAAACAAAAGAACAACUAAAGAGAUCCCUAAAGCAAAAUCUGAGGAGCGCCACUAAUACACAAAGACCCCUUCCCCGCCGAGCUUCUUCUUCUUUAACGAAAGACAAGUACCAGCCGUUUGAUUCUAACCUAGAGAGACUUCAUUUUCCUAGAAAAAUCAGAACCAUCUCCUUCUCAAAAAUCAAAUGACAUUGUCUUCUCUUCUUUGAAUAGAGAUGAAGGAUCUCUUUUCCUAAUUUUGAAAGAACAAAACCGGCGACCACCCCCGUCAUCAUCUUCAGCCACGCCACCCUUCCGAAACCCACCGGAAAAACUCAGUAGAACACUGCUCCAAGCCCACAUCUUCUUCACAAAACAGUCACACAUAUACUCACGAGAGAGACAGAAAAUCGGGAUAGAGGGAGAGGAGAAAAGUUCUAGACGGACUUCGAUUGUGGUUUGGUUUUGAGUUCGUUCGCCGAUUGGAGAGUUCUGUUGCCAAAUCGAGUUUCGCCAACUGGUUCGCAGUCUUAGCUUCGUUCUGUGGCUUUAUUGUUGAUUUCUCUCGACUUUUCGCUGUUGUAUUCACUUGAGGUAAUUCCGAGCAGAAAUAAAUUGAAAUCUCACUUUCAGGUCCAUAUUCUAUCUUUUCUUCUGUUUUUUCCCGUGAAUUGAAGUAUGAUAAGUGUUAGGAUUAAAUCAAUUUGGGGAGCAUUUGAGCUAAUUGAAAUUUGAUUUGAGAAGUAUUUGAAUUUUGAAGUGUAUGGAUUAACUAAGGUUGGAUAUGAGUUUGUUGUUGUGCCUUACAUGACUUUAUUUUGUGUGUUUUAAUAUAUUGCUUCAGAUCUGAACGCUUAUGUUUUAUAUGAUCGAUUCGAGCUCGGCAUGGCAACGUAGUUAUUGGAGGGAUCAUGAAAUCAGUGACGACUUGCUUGCAAUUUUCAUAAGUGUUUUGGCAUGUUCGUGUCAACUUUAAGUUGUUAGACUCUCACUAGAUGUUCUUUAUGUGUUUAUUGAACCAGUUUAGUCGUUCCUAACAUUUUGAAGCAUGUCUCAUUGUGCUUAAAUCAGUUUGGUUGAUCUUUGUAGUCAUUUUAGGCACGAAAUAUUGAUGUCAUUGUUUGUGAUCUUCUUGGAAUAUUUGGAGGUUGUUUCUGUUAACUUGACGAUAAUAGGUGAAUUUAACUUUAUUCAGACCCUAAAUAACCGCCUUCUGGCAUAGUUUUGAUAAUAAAAGUGAUAACAAAAUGCUUUAGUGCUUUUAAUGAUUUGCAGGUUAUAUAUGACUAAGGAAGGUUGGGGAGCACUUUUGGAGUGAAAAAUGAAGAAAGAAAGGCCAACCAUGAAAUAUCCCAAGUGAACCACGCAAAAACAGGCUGAAGAAUCAGAAAACUGAGGUACCGCGGUAGAACCGCGGUGAAGGAUGUUCGCGGAUAGAAGGAAGAUCAGAGGCCAUGUUUGGUCGCGGUUCUACCGCGACCGCGGCAGAACCGCGGCAAGAGGCGGAAAGUUCAGGGACUAAAGUGCAAAACACGGGAUUUUCAGCCUCNNNNN